UACGGGGGGGGCAAGCGUUGUUCGGAAUUACUGGGCGUAAAGGGCUCGUAGGCGGCCCACUAAGUCAGACGUGAAAUCCCUCAGCUUAACUGGGGAACUGCGUCUGAUACUGGAUGGCUUGAGUUCGGGAGAGGGAUGCGGAAUUCCAGGUGUAGCGGUGAAAUGCGUAGAUAUCAGGAGGAACACCUAUGGCGAAGGCAGCUCGCUGGGACGGUACUGACGCUGAGGCGCGAAAGCGUGGGGAGCAAACAGG
rnacentral:rRNA from 1 species